UUCGGGCUGCAUCCCUCUCCUCUGAGAGUUACUGUAUGUACAAAUGAGAUUGGAUAGCCCAAUGGGCCAAGCUCAUUACACUCUGUGAGAAUGAAGGGGAAAGUUGAAUGGGUUUGUUUUGUGUGGAUAUAGAACAACUCUGAUGAUGAAGCUACAGCUAGUUCAUGUUUGUAAAGCAAAUAUUUGCUAAAAUUCCCCUGUGCUUCCUCGUUUUGAAAUACUAAUGUAGUGUAUGCAUUGUGUGCACUGAAAAUGUGAUGCGAGUAUGUAACAGAAGUGGAGCAACCCUGUGAAGUCCUGCUGGCUGUGACCAUGGACUACAAAUCCCAGAGGCACCUGGAAUCAGGAAGAGGCAGUAAGGAGACACCCUGCAGGGUUCUGCUGCUGAACUGCAAAUCCCAGAGCUCUUGUGGGGAGCAGGAAGAGGAAGCAAAGGGAGACCCCAGGCUGGCUACUUGCCAGAGGACCGCUCUGGUAUGGUGGCUGGGGAAGACUGGAGGAGAGGGAAGCCUCUUCACAACACAGAUGAACCACAGACCAACUGCACAUGAAGCCUAACCUAGAGACCUGCACAGAGUGACUUUGGACUAAAGGCUGGUUCUUGGGGACACCUCCAGAGGAAGCAAUUUUUCUGACCUGGAGAAGAAUAGCAGCAGCUGAGAGAGAAAAGAGAAAGAGUAAAAUGCAAUGGAAAAGAAAGGAUGCUACUAAGCAAAAUAAAGGGGGAGAGAAAAAUAAAACAUUGGACAUCAAGUACACAGCCCACUACUGCAUGCUGACCAGCUAUUAAAUACACAUGUCCUGGCAGGUAGGAGUCACAAUUCAAAAGUGAAGACUAGAUUGUAUGAACCACUGACCACAGAGCUCUUGUAUUGUUUUCCAGUGGAUCGCUGAAUGCCUUGCCAGCUUUCUUAUUUCUCCAACUGCUACUAUGUGAAUUUCCUUUUGUAAAAAUCUAAUAAAGUGUAUAGACUGACACAAUUCCUGUGACAGGCAAGCCUUUGAUAUUCAUGUUUCACUGGACAGUCUUACAGUAUGUGAAGCUUAUAUAGUAGAUGUGCUAGGAAAUUUGUGGACAGUCAAAACUAUUUCAAAAAUAUAUCCUUACUACUGGUAGCCGCAGCAGGCUAUUUUAGAACACUGAGGGAUAUAUCUGAGCAUAUUCAAGCAGGGAUGGGG